rnacentral:rRNA from 1 species
CAGCAGCCGCGGGAAUACAGAGGAUGCAAGCGUUAUCCGGAAUGAUUGGGCGUAAAGGGCUCGCAGGCGGUUUCUUAAGUCUGAUGUGAAAGCCCCCGGCUCAACCGGGGAGGGUCAUUGGAAACUGGGAAACUUGAGUGCAGAAGAGGAGAGUGGAAUUCCACGUGUAGCGGUGAAAUGCGUAGAGAUGUGGAGGAACACCAGUGGCGAAGGCGACUCUCUGGUCUGUAACUGACGCUGAGGAGCGAAAGCGUGGGAGCGAACAGGAUUAGAUACCCCUGUAGUCCCUGUCUCUUAUACA